rnacentral:rRNA from 1 species
GUGGAUUAGAUACCCUGGUAGUCCGCACAGUAAACUGUGAUCACUGGGUGUAGCGGGUAUUGACCCCCGCUGUGCCGAAGCUAACGCAUUAAGUGAUCCGCCUGGGAAGUACGGUCGCAAGAUUAAAACUCAAAGGAAUUGACGGGGGCCCGCACAAGCGGUGGAGUAUGUGGUUUAAUUCGACGCAACGCGAAGAACCUUACCUGGGUUUGACAUCUGCGGAAUUCUGAUGAAAGUCGGGAGUGCCCUUCGGGGAGCCGCAAGACAGGUGCUGCACGGCCGUCGUCAACU